ACCUAGCAACAAAGCAGUCGAGGAAGUAAGUCUGCGUUUAUUUCGACUGCACUUUUCACAAUAAAACAUCUGAGCAUCAGACAAAGCAAAAAACUGAUUCAAUAAAACACGAAUGACAUCAGAACAAAAGUAACAUCAACACGCUUCUUCACGUGGACUUAAUGUUAUGGGCACUUGAUAAAGUUUUGGAGUCGGCCCAACAGAUCACCUCGUAGCUGCAGUGACACUCUGAGUCUCCCUCAAGCUCUGACCAGCGUUUUCUCCAUCGACUUCCUGCAUCGACUCACCUCCUGAGCUUUCAGAGACUGAUGAUCUACUGAACCAACGCUACAACCUUUGGUGAGUAUGAAUCAACACCUGCACACUCAGGUGUACACACACCGCAGUGUGACUCGUUGCCAUGUUCAGUCACACUCUGACAUUAACACUGCUGAAGCUCCCAGCUCCAGUGGGACUGGAUCGGCCUCGCGCAGGCCGGCACACCUAACACCUGUCUUCAGUACAGGGCCGCGCCUACAGGCAGUCUGUCGGGCACCUUGUUUCAGGACGACGGCUUCAGUGAUCUGCUUCCCGUUCACGUACGUCUCAGCUCCGACUAACGGCUCCAGAGUGACGACCACUGCAGGGAGAGCGAACACAGCUGAUGUGGUACCCAUGAGCCCUGGCUGCUGUUGCCAUAGAGACAAAGCCAGUCGGUGGUGUGUUUCACACCUGAGUGUCAGGAUUAUCUGUGAUUGGACACCAACCAGAGAGACAAACGGGGGACAGGUGAGUGGACCAGCCUGUCCGGAGAGUCCGGUUUGAGGAGGAUCUGACUGCGAUCCUACCAGCAGUCUCUCAGCUGCUUCCUCUUUGCUGAUGGUCUCCUCUGCCUCGUCACCAUC